GGUUGCCAUAUCAAGAGGAGGAAGAAACUAACAUUAAAGAUGCGGCGUGGGGCUUCCCUGGCGGCUCACCCUUUCCCUCCCACACUGUACUGGAGCUGAUCCAUGUGACCAAUAGAACACAGAAGUGAUGGUGUGGGACUUCUGUGGCUAGGUCACAAAGGCAUGUGGCUUCCACCUCUCUCUUAGAUCACUCAGUCUGGGGGAGGCAGCCCUGUUGAGAGAGGGCUGAGGCAAGGAACUAAGCCCUCCUGCCAACAGGCCUGUGAGUGAGUGGAGUCAUCUUGGGAGCAGACCCUCUGGCCCCAUUCAAACCUUCAGGUACUCACAGCCCCAAGCAACCUCGAGAGAGACCCUCAGUGUAAGCCACUCAGCUAAAUGGCUCCCUGACCCACAGAAACUGAGAUAAUUUUAUUGUUUUGAGUUGCUAAGUUCUGAAAUAAGUGGUUAAUGCAGCCCUAGAUAACUGCUGAGCUUCCCUGGUGGCUCAGGGGUAAAGAAUUUGCCUGCCAAUGCAGGAGACUCGGGUUCAAUCCCUGAGUCGGAAAGAUGCCCCUAGAGGAGGAAAUGGCAGCCCACUUCAUCACUCCUGUCUGGGGAAUCCCAUGAGGACUGAGGAGCCUGGAGGGCUACAGUCCAUGGGGUUGCAACACAACUUAGCAACUAAGCCAACAAAGACUUUGUGAAGCAGCUUCAAGGACUUGGCAGAGAUGAGAUGAAGCAAACAGCAUUCUAAAGUAAUGGCAAAGAAACAACUAAAAAAAUGGACAGUGUUUCUAGUUGAAAUCAGAAAGCUGAUGACAAAUAAGACCUCUGCUGGGACAAAGGAUUGUUGGUAUCAUUUGUGGAGCUAUGACACGUAUACACCAUGGGAAAAUAGCUGAAGCCAUCAAAGCGUGGACACCGCUGGCUGGAGGAUCUUAUCAGUCACCUUGGCAGCCCAGGUGUGGUCACCACCUACCUGUGCCCUGAGUCUAUCUCAGAAGGAGGAAGACAGCCAGGAGUGAUUCUUCUGCCAGUUCUGGAAUGGACUUGACCUAGGUUCUGUUGGACAUAACUAGCAAUUGAACUUUUCUUCCCCAGUUCCCCAUGCAGUGGGAAGUAAAAGGGCAUAGUUUUCUCUGAGGUCAUUUUUUGAGUCAAUAAAUCAGAUUGAUUCUGAGCUUUUCGAUGGAAUUUUGAGAUCUGCUUAUUAAGGACUUAACGCUGAUAACAGAAGCCAAGUGGAUUAAUAAGAGUUCGCUACCUAAGCCCUAAGCCAGUGCUUCUCAAACUUUAAUGCAAAUGAAUCACCUGGGACAUCUAUUGAAAUACAGAUUUGGCUUCAACAGGGCUAGGGUAGGGCUCCCAGGUGAAGCUGAUGCUCCUGGGCCAUGGUCAGCAAUUUAGCAGGAAGAGCAGAAAG
rnacentral:lncRNA from 1 species